rnacentral:rRNA from 1 species
CGAGGGGUAACAGAGGAGCUUGCUCUUGCUGACGACCGGCGCACGGGUGCGUAACGCGUAUACAAUCUGCCUUACACUAAGGGAUAGCCCAGAGAAAUUUGGAUUAACACCUUAUAGUUUAUUUUUAUGGCAUCAUUUAAAUAAUAAAGUUUACGGUGUAAGAUGAGUAUGCGUCCCAUUAGUUUGUUGGUAAGGUAACGGCUUACCAAGACUACGAUGGGUAGGGGCCCUGAGAGGGGGAUCCCCCACACUGGUACUGAGACACGGACCAGACUCCUACGGGAGGCAGCAGUGAGGAAUAUUGGACAAUGGAGGAGACUCUGAUCCAGCCAUGCCGCGUGCAGGAAGACGGUCCUAUGGAUUGUAAACUGCUUUUAUACAGGAAGAAUAAGGACUACGUGUAGUCUGGUGACGGUACUGUAAGAAUAAGGACCGGCUAACUCCGUGCCAGCAGCCGCGGUAAUACGGAGGGUCCGAGCGUUAUCCGGAAUUAUUGGGUUUAAAGGGUCCGUAGGCGGGCUGUUAAGUCAGGGGUGAAAGUUUGCAGCUCAACUGUAGAAUUGCCUUUGAUACUGAUGGUCUUGAAUUAUUGUGAAGUGGUUAGAAUAUGUAGUGUAGCGGUGAAAUGCAUAGAUAUUACAUAGAAUACCGAUUGCGAAGGCAGAUCACUAACAAUUGAUUGACGCUGAUGGACGAAAGCGUGGGUAGCGAACAGGAUUAGAUACCCUGGUAGUCCACGCCGUAAACGAUGGAUACUAGCUGUUUGGAUUUCGAUCUGAGCGGCCAAGCGAAAGUGAUAAGUAUCCCACCUGGGGAGUACGUUCGCAAGAAUGAAACUC